CCCUGCAUUCGUAAGUGACCAUGACUGCCCGUGUCCUGGUCAUUGGUACUGCAGGCAGAGGAAAUGCGGAAGGGCUCACCCUGUGUUCGGAGGACUUACAUCCUGUCUCCCGUCUCUGGGAACUUCCCACA